AAUUGCGAUGGGGGGACGGAGAAGGCUAGGUGGGCCAGGCGACGGUUGUCCUGGUUCAAGUGCGUAGGCUUAAGAGUUAGGUAAAUCCGGCUCUUUCUAAGGCUGAGACACGACGUCGAGCUACUACGGUAGUGAAGUCAUUGAUGCCAUGCUUCCAGGAAAAGCCUCUAAGCUUCAGAUUGUAAGGAAUCGUACCCCAAACCGACACAGGUGGUCGGGUAGAGAAUACCAAGGCGCUUGAGAGAACUCGGGUGAAGGAACUAGGCAAAAUGGUACCGUAACUUCGGGAGAAGGUACGCUCUUGAUGGUGAAGUCCCUCGCGGAUGGAGCUGACGAGAGUCGCAGAUACCAGGUGGCUGCAACUGUUUAUUAAAAACACAGCACUGUGCAAAAUCGCAAGAUGACGUAUACGGUGUGACGCCUGCCCGGUGCCGGAAGGUUAAUUGAUGGGGUUAGCGCAAGCGAAGCUCUUGAUCGAAGCCCCGGUAAACGGCGGCCGUAACUAUAACGGUCCUAAGGUAGCGAAAUUCCUUGUCGGGUAAGUUCCGACCUGCACGAAUGGCGUAAUGAUGGCCACGCUGUCUCCACCCGAGACUCAGUGAAAUUGAAAUCGCUGUGAAGAUGCAGUGUACCCGCGGCUAGACGGAAAGACCCCGUGAACCUUUACUACAGCUUGGCACUGAACAUUGAACCUACAUGUGUAGGAUAGGUGGGAGGCUAUGAAGACGUGACGCUAGUUGCGUUGGAGCCGUCCUUGAAAUACCACCCUUGUAUGUUUGAUGUUCUAACUUAGACCCGUUAUCCGGGUUGAGGACAGUGCCUGGUGGGUAGUUUGACUGGGGCGGUCUCCUCCCAAAGAGUAACGGAGGAGCACGAAGGUGGGCUAAUCACGGUUGGACAUCGUGAGGUUAGUGCAAUGGCAUAAGCCCGCUUAACUGCGAGAAUGACGGUUCGAGCAGGUGCGAAAGCAGGUCAUAGUGAUCCGGUGGUUCUGUAUGGAAGGGCCAUCGCUCAACGGAUAAAAGGUACUCCGGGGAUAACAGGCUGAUACCGCCCAAGAGUUCAUAUCGACGGCGGUGUUUGGCACCUCGAUGUCGGCUCAUCACAUCCUGGGGCUGAAGUCGGUCCCAAGGGUAUGGCUGUUCGCCAUUUAAAGUGGUACGCGAGCUGGGUUUAGAACGUCGUGAGACAGUUCGGUCCCUAUCUGCCGUGGGCGUUGGAAGAUUGAAGGGGGCUGCUCCUAGUACGAGAGGACCGGAGUGGACGAACCUCUGGUGUUCGGGUUGUGUCGCCAGACGCAUUGCCCGGUAGCUAAGUUCGGAAUCGAUAACCGCUGAAAGCAUCUAAGCGGGAAGCGAGCCCUGAGAUGAGUCUUCCCUGACGGUUUAACCGUCCUAAAGGGUUGUUCGAGACUAGAACGUUGAUAGGCAGGGUGUGUAAGCGUUGUGAGGCGUUGAGCUAACCUGUACUAAUUGCCCGUGAGGCUUAACCAUACAACACCCAAGGGGUUUUGUA
rnacentral:rRNA from 1 species